AAGACACAUUCCUGCCAAUCAGCAGCAGCCCCUCCCUCCCAGACCCUCCCACCUCCUGGACAGCAUCCAUUGUGAAGCUGCAUUCUUAGUGAGCUGUCCAGGAGGUGGGAGGGUCUGGGAGGGAGGGUCUGCUGCUGAUUGGCUGGAAUGUGUCUG